ensembl:misc_RNA 7SK 7SK RNA
GGAUGCGAGGGCGAUCUGGCUGUGACAUCUGUCACCCCACUGAUCACCAGGGUUGAUUUGGCUGAUCUGUCUGGAUAGGCGGUUGUCCCCUUCCUCCCUCACCGCUUCAAGUAUGUCCCUCCUGAAGCUGCGUGGUGGGUCAAAGAGGAUACAGAAGGACCAUUUCCUUUUCAAGGGUAUAUGAGUAGCUGCGCUCCCCUACUAGAACCUCCAAACAAGCUCUCAAGAAAACUACAAAUCUGUGAAAAUUUGUAUUUUUAUUUUUCCUCACAGACUAACUCAGUUA